rnacentral:rRNA from 1 species
UACGGAGGGUGCAAGCGUUAUCCGGAUUCACUGGGUUUAAAGGGUGCGUAGGUGGGUUGAUAAGUCAGUGGUGAAAUCCCCGGGCUUAACUUGGGAACUGCCAUUGAUACUAUUGAUCUUGAAUACCGUGGAGGUCGGCGGAAUAUGUCAUGUAGCGGUGAAAUGCUUAGAUAUGACAUAGAACACCAAUUGCGAAGGCAGCUGGCUGCGCGGAUAUUGACACUGAGGCACGAAAGCGUGGGGAUCAAACAGG